GACGAACGCUGGCGGCGUGCUUAACACAUGCAAGUCGAACGGAAAGGCCUCUUUCGGGGGGUACUCGCGUGGCGAACGCGUGAGUAACACGUGAGUAACCUGCCCUUGACUUUGGGAUAACUUCAGGAAACUGGGGCUAAUACCGGAUAGGAGCUCCUGCUGCAUGGUGGGGGUUGGAAAGUUUCGGGGGGUGGGGAUGGACUCGCGGCUUAUCAGCUUGUUGGUGGGGUAGUGGCUUACCAAGGCUUUGACGGGUAGCCGGCCUUGGGGGGUGACCGGCCACCAUGGGGCUGAGGUAAGGCCCAGGAUCCUACGGGGGGCAAGAGGGGGGAAAAUUGGACAAGUGGUGGGAGCCCGAUGCAGCAACGCCGGGGGCGGGAUGACGGCCUUCGGGUUGGAAACCGCCUUCGCUCAUGACGGAGCUGUGUGUGACGGUAGUGGGUAAAGAAGCACCGGCUAACUACGUG
rnacentral:rRNA from 1 species